rnacentral:lncRNA from 1 species
CCUGCGAGAUAUUCAGGCAGAGAGUUGAAGUCCUGCUGGCAGAAGCGGCAGAGCUGAGCAGACUCCUGGAGCAGGCGGCCGAGACGGAUUCGGACGAGACCGGAUCCGCUCGCACAAGCAGUGGUUAGGCCAUCCA